CGGGGAGUAGCGCAGGCCGGUAGCGCAUCUGGUUUGGGACCAGGGGGUCGCAGGUUCGAAUCCUGUCUCCCCGACGA
rnacentral:tRNA from 1 species